CUCAUUAUUUAUUUUAAUAACAUGAUGUAUGUGUUACAUAUAGAAUUUCUGAAUGCUUGGUGAUGAGAAAACUGCAAACUGAGUCAGAUACAGCACUGACCUGGAAAGCACUGAGACCCUGCACUAUAUGUGAUAAGUACAAAUGCUUUUCUAACUUUAUUUACUUUUUACUUGCUGGUCAGUCCUUUCAAAAUCUUCUGUGAUAGAAUCAGCUCCUAAAGUGUACUGUGGCCUACAUCUAUGAAUUUAAAGAAAGGAAAUGGUAAGUGUGACAAAAUAACUCAUAUAAUGUUUAAAGUUAUGCACUGUUCCUUGACCUGCUCCAGCUCCUUCACUAAAUAUUGUUUUCAUUUUGAUGUAGAUUUCUCUUGCCAUUUCCCUUCUGUGUUUCACCAGACUGCUACCUGAAGUGAAUUUAGGGGGAAGACAAGCAUAAAGUCAAUUCCACUUGCUGUAAUUCCCCAGAUUUUAGAAGGGAAAGACAUUUAUUUAAUUUGCCUUGCAACCUAUGAGCUCAUGGGGUUCAUUAAUUUCUCAAGAAGUAAAUAAGUUCCGCUGGUUUGUUCUCCAAUUUAUCACUUUUUGUCUGUUUCCAUUUUAGCUGGUAAUUCCACCUCUCCCUCUUGCUUGAACGAACUCUGUGAGAGAACACAUCUGGGCUUUUUCAACUUGGGGCACAACUGUGCAGAAAACAGGCAUUUUUUGCUUAAUUGCUCUUAUAAUUGGCAGCCCAUGGCUUCAGAGCACAGGUAGCACACAGGUGUGUGGGUUACUGCACCAAGAGGGCUGGCCCUUUGCUGGGACACAUCUGACUGGUGAUGGGCUGGGUUUCUUGGUGUUUCUGGUGCUGCAUCUCCCACUGAAUGCCAUGAGGAAUGCUCUGGGCAUGCCAGCCAGGCAGGCAUUGUAGACAUUGAAACUGCAGCCUGCUUGUCUGCUGUUUUGGGCAGAAGGAAAACACAAUUAGGGGAGGAAGUCUCAUUAAUGAGGACACUUUAGUAGCAGCUUUUGGUAGCGUGGGGCGUGGAAAUGUUAGAUUUAGAAGAUAUCUGCCUGUGUUUUUAUCUCUACUUAAAAUAGUAGAAUGGAAAAUUAUCUUAUCUCCAUAAAUUGCUAUUUUUCACUUAGUCAAUUAUUUUAUCACCCAAAGCAGAUGCCACACAAAGAACUGUGGUUGGGAGGCAUUUAGUUAUUUAUCUCGGUCAAAGUGUCUCAGUAAAAAAGCUGUCAGUAGGAGAUAAUAAUAAUAAUAAAUAUACAUGGCAUUUGGCUAGAAGAAUACAAGAUUAUACUCAACAGAAACACAUUUCUAAAAGAAUAAUUGUAGCUAAUUAGAAAUCUCCAGUUAUGCUUAGAGUUGUAAGAAAGUGAAAUCAAAUUUAAUUAUGCAAGGUCCCAGUUGUGCCAAAGGUGUUAUAAAGAAUAUCUUUAUGGAGACAUUCAGUAUAACAAACUGGCUGGUGUUGUUAUUAGCAUGCUCAGCUGCACAUUUUCUUAAUAUUAGUUUAGUUUAAAGUUUAAUGGUGGUGUUUGUAGGACUAAUUACCAAGAAUCUGCACAGCACUCACUGGGAUAGUCACCCAAAAGGCUCACAUUUUUGCAAUGUUAUGUUAUUGGUGGCUCCAGAAUAUCUUUGACUAAAUCCUUUAUAUUCUGGUACUUAAAAGUGGAUCUGUGAUCGUGGCCACAGGUGCUUUGGGUGCAUAAACAGUGAGUUAAACAGCUGCUCCCUCUGCAUGCUGGCAGGGGAUUGCUGGCCAGCAUCAGGGUUUACUGGGAUGAGUGCAGCACUGCUCUGGGACAAAAUCAGGGAAAGAUUGCUUAUCUUGGGUGAUAGGAAAUGUGGGUAAAGAGGACACACAGUAGCCAUACAUGUUUUCUGACAACCAGUUGUCCAGGCAUGCUGAGGAGGAAAGCUUAUUAUUCAUAGUAACUCCAGAUAAAAACCUUAAUGCAGGCUGUCUAUCAGGUGUGAACAUCCAAAAGUAUCAUGGUAGACACAAAAUUUCGAUAUUUUAAUAUUGCUUUUAAUAUUAACAGUGAAAAUAUCAUGCAUCUCCUCCCCGAAGGAAAGGAUUUUGGCUGAGCAGAGCUAACAGUGAACCAAGGGCUUUUUCAGUAGCACUCACUGUGCCUUGAGCAGGGGAGUCAUUCUGUCACCCAGUAAAAACAGAUCUUAGGUACCCAUGGAGGAGCAGUGAUCAUGAGAAAAAUGCUGUGAUGUUAGAGGGAUGUGGGAGGAUUUGGUGUAAAGGAACCCUGCUAAUCUUGGAAUUGACACAGAAUCAGGAAUGGUUUUUGGAUGAGGCUGGGCAGUCCAAACCAUUUUCCCCUUUUCUGGCAGCUCAGUUCCCCACUGCAGCCCCCUCUGGAGGCGACAUGGGUAAAUGAAGCUUUCAAAUUCAUGCAAGCCUUCCCAAUGAUUUUUUUCAAGCCCUGCAAGGUUAAGUCUUUUCUUCUGUUAUUAGAGCAUUUCUUUCCAAGAGCACCAUUUUCUUCUCAGCCCCAAAGGUGACUUUCCUGCCAGCAAAGACCCUCCUGUCACCGCCAGGUGGUUUUGUCCUUGAGCCACCUGGCCUGACACACUGGGACCCUCUCUCUUCUUCCCCACCCACACAAGGCAAGCAUCCCUAUGCCCACAGCUCCUCUCCCCACAGGAUCACAGUGAAAGAAGGAGAAAGGACAUGCUUAGAUCCUUCCAUCUUGCCUCCUGAACCCCUAUUCUGAAAACCUCAAAGUCCACUUUUUCACCUUGUGGUAAAUUCACUAUCAUUCUACUUAAUUUGUCGGGGCUUGCAGAUCUUCAUCUAAGGUUGGUAAUUUGCUCCACGGGUCAUAAUCAAAACCACAGGGGCAUUUUGGGCUCUGUGUCAGGGUCUCUGAGCCCCCUGGCAGGGUCUGGGCUGCUCAGGACACCCAGAGUGAUGUCCUGCGUUCUGACAAACUGGGGAGUGGCAGGAGGAACAGGAGCCCCGUGUUCCAUGGGCACUCACCUGACACAUGGCACUGAGCUCCUCUGCAGUGCUGCAGGUGUGCAGCCAGGGCUGAGAGCCUUGUUUUAGUGUCUGUGAUCUCCAGGAGGGGCAUGCAGCUCAAAGGUGCCUCUCACAGUCUCUGGUCAUGAGACGUGUUAGUCUCUUUUCUUAGUUUGGCAGCUGUAAAAAGGAGUCAGGAUUCUUCUGUUCUGCUUUUCAAGGUUUAUUUUAUGCUUAUCUGUACUAUUCUUUCUCUGAUCUGCUGAGGUCUCUCCAGCAGGUUGGGUUGAAGCACACUGACCACCUUCAGGGCAGUGUUAUCUUUUUAUACUAAAAAUUACAUGUACUUUAUUUUCAAUAAUGUUCUAAUACUUAUUACCUAUGUUAGACAGUCUGUCUCUAAACUAAUCUAAAACUCUCAACAUCACCUAGAAGAUGGAGGUUAAGACGAAGAAAGAAGAAGGACAAGGCCCGCCUAAAGCUCUCAUUUUAAAAACUCAAAAUUCUCCUUUUCUAUCUUGUAACAAACUAUCAUUCUACUUAAACUUUCAUGGCUUUUGAAUCUUCAUAUAAGGUUGGUAAUUGUUUUUUCUAAGGGCUAAAAUCGAAGGCACAGGUGUUUGUGACUCUGUGCCAAGGUCUCUGAGCUCUCUGUCUCGAGUCCUCCAGGGCAGCCAGAGGAAUUUCUUGGGUUCCCACAAGUACCUUAAAGAGGCAGGAGCUGUGCUGUGUCUCAGCCCUGUCAUGUUCCUGGGCUUUGUGCUCAGGCAGGGGAGGCAGCCAGGGGUUUGUCUCUGUGGAUCUGCAGGCACUGCUGGAAAAGGAGUCAUUCCUGCAACUGGCAACAACCUGGGAUGGGAUUCACUCCUCUCCACCUCAGACACCUGUGCUCUAUAUGCAUUUGCAGCUGAACUGGGCACUCCAGGCUUCCCUUAUCAGUUAAUGGAAGAGAUUAUCUAUUUUUAGGCAUGAGUCACCUGUCCUAUUUUAGCUCUCUAUUUUAGUGCAUGAUGAAUUGCAUGAUGUCCAUUAACAAUUCAGGAGAGAGUCUAAUCCAAGUAGCUCUGAUGUGGACCUCUUAAUUGAUUUAUUUGGAUCAGUUCUACCCCAUCUGCCUAGGUCUUUAAAGCGCUGGGUGUCUUCCAAGGCUGAAACUGAGGCAAACAGUGAGAGAGGCAGUGCAGAAAGCAUUUCUGCUUUCUUUGCCCAGACAGCAGCAUAUUUUCAGGUAUGACUUUGGCAGCUGAACACUUGAAUUGGCUGUGGUCAUUUUGUACUGUCACAAGUACCAUUGGUCCUUGUCUAGGAGUAGUUUGGUCUCCAUCUGUACAAGCGCCAUCUAGCCUGAAAAAGAAAAGGAGUUUCAGUUGCCUUCCUUCUCAAGUAUCUGCUGUUUUAUGGGCAAAUUCCUUCACCUCCCUUGCCCUGUCCCAGCCCUCCUUUUCCUUAUGGCUCUGUGUCUGGGCUGCUCUUGAUGCAGCCAGACCUGGCAAUUCUCUGUAACUCCUCUGAGGCUGCUGACCUUCCUUACCUCUGGUAUUUUUGGGGUCCCCAGGACAAAGGAGGAAUUGAGAAUCUGAUUCCAUGUUCUUAGAAGGCUAAUUUAUUAUUUUAUGCACUUACAUUAUAUUAAAGAAUACAAUACUAAAGAAUAGAGAAAGGAUACGACAGAAGGUUACAAAGAAUGAUAAUGAAAACUUGGGAAUGCUUUCAGAGCCCCAACACACCUGGAUGGUGAUUGGUCAUUAAAUAAAAACAAUUCACAUGUUGGAUAAAAAAAUCUCCAACCGCAUUCCAAAGCAGCAAAACAAGGGAGAAGCAAGUGAGAUAAUAUUUUCUUUUUUCUCUGAGGCUUCGCGGCUUCCCAGAAGAAAUCCUGGAGAAGGGAUUUUUCAGAAAAUAAGACAGUGCCACUUACCCUUUGCUGAAACGAAGCUCUCUGGCACAGGUCUAAUGAUGUCAUGAGCUCUGAGAUCUGCCAUUCCUACUCAGUCUGAGUACCUGUCCAGUACCUGUUCUAAACUGGAAUAUCUAUGCACUUACACACAGAGGAUGGGGUUCUGUAUCCUCUCUUGCCACCUAGCCCAGUGAAUCCUGCCUGGGCUGAGGACACUGAGUCACUCUUCGUUCUCUCACCAUUUGCAUUUUGUUUCCAGACUGUCAUCCCAAGAUGAUAGAUGAUAAUUUAAUUCAUAGCAGAUGAACUUGGCCUGUGAUGAAUUGCAGAGGCUUUGGAUAAAGGGUGAAUGUGGAUCUUCACGGAUAGGAUUUCUCCACUGUGGGAGAAGUCCAGGGAUGCAGAGGAUCCACCUUGUGACACUCAUACUUUGUCCAGCUGUUACAUCAGAACACAGCAGUGAUGCAAGCUUCCUGUUCCAGUGCAAGAGGAUCCUGUAGGAUCUCCUAUAACAGGGAGUGCUGAUAUGUUUCAUGUCCCAGGACUCUGAUUCUCAGUAAUCCUUCUUGGUGUAAGGAGAAAAGAGCACACACAGUGGGUUUUUAGCUAUAUCAGUUACUGUACAUCUGAAAUGUGUCCAAAUUCCAGAAGAAUGUCUGUUAGAUAGCAUAAAAUACAUGAAAUGGAAGUUAUUUGGCACACUUAGGGAGCUUUGUUCUACAAUUCUCUCCCCUUCUGUCUCUCUUGUUGCUAAUGAAACAGCUGCUUUUUGGUUUCAGGCUUUAACCUAUUUUUGUAAUCCUUUUAUGCUGUUGGCCCUUUGAAAUGCAUGAAUUGCUAUGAAAGAAAGCCAGUGUCAUUGCUGGGAGGCACAAGGAUGGCCUAUAGGUGAGCUCAUGUCUAGUGAUGAGAGACUGUCUCACCUAUUCAUCCCCUCCUUUAUUUCUAUAAAGUGACCCAGUUCCCCAUGGCACAUGGUUCUAUGCCUUUUCUGCUCUUAUUUAAGCAUUACAAUUCUGUCAGCCCCAGCCCUUCAUUAGCACAGCACCUGCAGGUAACUCCCUCCUUUGGGAGGAAUUAUUUUUUCAUAUCUAGGCCCCUGUUCCCACUGCAGGAAUGUGCUGGCCCAAAGUAGAAGAGGAGGUGGAAGAGCUUGGUUUCCAAGGAAAAAAGCUGGAGAACAGUGCAGAAAGAAGGAAGCUGUGAAGGAAAUAGAGGGCAAGUGGAAGGCAGAAUCUAUUUAUUGGACAAGAACCAAACCUUGUUUCUGUGAGUGGUUGUGCUCUCAGUGGGAUGACAUUUUGCUACUGUGCAGCAGAAUUUCACUGAAGGCUUGGCAAGUAGAGUAUGCCAUCAUCUGAAGAGUCAGGUUAUCCUCAUGGCUGAGUGUCCUGGUUCAGGGCAAAUUUUGGAGUGAACCCCCAAGGGGCUCCUCUAGGAAAGCAGAUUCAUUUGGUCCCUCUCCCAGCUAGUCUGGGAGAAAAUACCUCCUUGGAGAGAAGUGAAAAAAACCUGUUUAUUAAACAAUAAAACCUAAACAAUAUUAAACAAUCAAACCCCUUGUUGCUCCAAGAGAGAUGACAGACUGAGAAAGUCCCUCCCCGGGUUGCAGCUCAGCUCACUCAGGCUCUGAUCAGUCCCUCAGUGCUGGAAAUGUCGCGGGCCAGGCCCGGCCUGGUGGGCCUCAGGUGCAGCUGCCGGUGCUGCCCUGGGUGUUCAGGCCAGAGCAGGUUAAACAGGGCCAAAGAAAAGGGAAAAAACCCCAGUCCAGGGAACUUUGCCUCAGGUAGCUAAACUAACUAAAAGCAAAGGAGAGCUCUGUCCUGCUGUCUGUCCAUCUGCAGACAACAGAGUCAGGAGCAGGAAUGUCGAGGAGUGAGUGCAGUGUCUGAAAACAAACUGCUGCUUCUCUCCCCCCCUUCACUCUCUGGAACAAGGCUUAAAGGUGCAAAACUUAUUAUUCAGCAUAAACAGAACAGAGGACUGGGGAUAAAAGCAUCAUAAAAUCAACCCAGGACACUGAGGAUGCAAAUCCAGGAUCACUGAGUUGGUGUACACUCCCAUCUGCCCAACACCAGCGCAGGUGUGACUUUAAAUGUGAUUUAAAUCUUUGCAUUGCUUCAUUGGCUAUUUACCAUCUACAAUUAAUUAAUUCAGCACUAAACUGUUGUCAUUAUAAUACAAGAGUUCUAUUGUCAGUACAUUGCAAGGGUUCCAUAUUGUUAGAGUUUCAUACCUCCUUGGUGCUUCUUGUAGGCAGCUACUCUUCUAGGCACUGACUCCAAUUCCUUGCUGUUACCAUCUGACUCCAGUUCUUACCAAUCCACUCUUUUAUGCCACUGUUCUUAUUGGCUACAGGUGUGGCCUGUUAACAUCAGCCUGCUCCUAAUCUUUAGUACUUGGUCCAGCUGCAACUCUUUAGGAGAUAAGAUUAUAUUCUAUACUACCUUCAUUCACCCAUACUGUACCCCCCUACACUAAACCAGCUUAAGCAGCAGCUCCUUCUGGGAUUUGCAGUUUGUAGGCUGGAGGCCUGUUUGUGUUCCAGCUGACACAAAUGAACAUGCUGUGGUUAACUGAAGGUGUGAAGAAUCAUACCUCAUGUCUUGGUUGCAGAGUUAGCUACUUACUCCUUCCUUUUAAAGGCCAAGCUGAACUCAGCUCAUUUUGGAUGAUUAAAAAAGGAGUUUUUAUUUUUGUUCUCUGGUUUCUGAGUUUUCUCCUGAAAAAUGUUUUUGAUCUGAUCAAACAAUUUUGUCCUUUCCAGACAGACCUUUAUUCUCACUGCUGCAUCCAUUUCUGCCUUGAGGCAGUGAGGAGGGCUCCUCUUUGCUCUGCAUCCCUGCACAGUUCCACUGCAACUGAAUCAUCUCCAAUGUAUCUGCUAAACCCUGGCUAAAGACAAGAAGGUCUGAACACAGCAAGGAAAAAGUCAGGCAUUUGCUUUCACAUCAUAUUGAAGUUGAAAAUACAGUGUUAAAAUAGUGUUGGAUGGCUGGAAAGGAUGGCCAAUUGGAAACAAUGGAUGGGAGCAGCUGGAGAGAUAGUGAACAUGUCUGUGACUUCUGAAAUUAAUAACCACGAACUCAGUAAUGAAGUACCCAGGAGAACUUGUGGAAGGAAGAAGCAAUGGAGCUGAGAGUGAGCACCAACCUGGUCAGCAGAUCAGAAGUUAUGUUCAGCUCCCAGCAUCCUGCCUGUCAGCCUGGAAUGCUGCUGGAAAUUCCAUGCAGUUGUGCUGUCUUCACAGCAAAGCCUCCAGCCAGAUGAAAUUUGUAUGUGUGAGGAGUCUGUGCUGGGUGGAAACACCUGAAAUACUGCAGGUACCUCUUGGUUGAAGAACAAGCAUCCACGAAUAAAUGUAAUUUUGAAUUGUCCCACUGACUGACCAACAGCCCCUUUCCUGCUGGGGCUCAGCAGUGCUGCUCUUCCCAUGUCUGCACAGACACCAUGUAGGCUGAAAAUUAAAUGAGAAGACAAAAAAAUCGCCUUAAACAUACAAUGUUCCCUACAGGGUUUUGUUUAUGCAACAGAGAGAGCCAAGGAGAAGAUGUGCCCCAUGAACUCUGGUUAUAGAACUAUCAUCUUAUGGAAAUUUAAUGUUUUGGUAAUCCUAGGUUCUCCUUUGGGACUCUGGCCUAUGUCUGUGUUGAUAUUUCAAGCUGCAGGAGCUGAGGCCUAAAACAAGUUCCUCAAACAAAAUGCCAUAACAUUGCCAAGGCAAAGGGAAUAACUGUGGUGGAAGACACGUGGAAAAGCAAAUUCAGUGAGUAGGGAACUUGUAGCUAGUCAGACAUGUGAAGGGAAGAAUAUUCACUGAAGAAGCAGAGUGGAACUCUCCUCCAUUUAAAUGUACUCACUGACUGAAGUGGGAAUAUUCAAAGCAUAUUUUUCUGCUAUUAAGCAAGCACCAGCUGCUGGAACAGAAGGAUGUGCAGGAGAGUGGAUCCACCAGUUCCCACCUUUGCCAUGCUCUGAGAGCACCUCAAAGGCUGCCCUGGGCUCCAAUGCCUGCUAAGAGAUGCCAGAGGAUGAGAACUGGUGAUGACAACUCCAGCAACACAAACUCCCAUCUCCUCUCCUGCCUGGAUAGGAAUCCAGAGGAAUUUUCCUAGGGAUGUGGGAUGCCCUUCAGAUAUUACAAGAACAUUUUGAUAUAUGGAAAAUUCAGUCAAACCAUGGUGUCUCCAACACAAAAAUAGCUGGUUCUUCUUCUCUACUAUUCCUGCAUCAAUAAAGCUGCUAUUGAACCUUUUGUGUUUAUUCAAAGAUCAGCAAAACUUACUAGGAGCCAGGAAUUACUUAAUAAUAACAGAAUAAGUGUGACUAAGUAAAAAAGGCCUAAAAGAGAGCUCAGAAAGCUAAAAAUACAAUUAAAGAGAGAUGAUUAGAAACCACUAACGAUAUUAAAAAGUGGUGAAGCAUUGGUUUUGGAGCAGAAAACAUUUCUGACAGAAAUACCAGUAUAAGUUUACGAAAGCUGUUUACUACACAAAAUGCUGGAAGCAUUGAUGAAAUAGCCAAAUUUAUGGAAUCACCAGAAAUUCAGUGCAAGCCAGAAAAGUUGUUUGGUGAAAGUCCUCUAAGCAGUGCAUGCCAUUUCUAACUCCUGUGAGUGCUGGGUGCUGUGGGACUUGGAGUUCUGAGUAAGAUAUAAUUAGAAAGCAACACAAGCCUCAGGAGUCGUUCCUCUUUCAGCUAUUUCUAAGGGCACCUUUAAUUGGCAAUAUUCAAAUACAAACUCCUCCAGAUAUGAGUAAUGACACAGUCUUCAACUCUCUCCUAAGUUAUUCCAAGUUUCUCAGUGAAAGAUAAUUUUAGUGUGAGCUGGUUAUCUCCAUUUAGAAUAAUAAGAGAGAAACUUGGGUAGAUUCUGAGCUAAAUCUUCUUGCAAACUGGUUUGCAAUGAAAGGGAGAGAAAAGUAGCUCAUUAUCAGCAACAGAAAGACUUUUGGAAAGCUUCAAUACAUUCAUGAAACUCUGAACAUGGAAAAAGAUGUAUAAAUACAUAUAUUUAUAUCUUCAUAAACGCUCAGAAGGGAAUGAAGAACCCCUUCUUGGGUUGAUGGUCUGGCUGCAGCAAUGCACUGCAGCCAUGAGCAGAGAGCUGUUCUUUGUAUCCCUCUCACAUUUAAAACAGCACAUUGUCCUGGCUAAACAUGAUUUGUCACAGAUGUCUGCCUCUAUCACCAGUUUCUACACAUAAUCAAAAUUUACCAUUCUUUCAUUUGACACUAGAAUCAAAAGGAUAAGAAAACUUACAACAAACUCCUUAUUUUCUAAAGAGCUCUUAUGACUACUCAGGAUGCAGUGACUUUGAGCAGUAACUUUCUCUUAUUGUAUAUUUAUGAAGCAGAUUAAUUUCCAAAAUGCAAAUGCAUUUCCCCUAUCUUGUUUUCCUUUUUGCCAUGGGGUAAAAUAUCUUCUGAAUGCCAUUUGUUCUAAAAAGGAUCUCAGAAAAACUGAAAUUAACACCUGUGGAAACUUCAUGCUACCUUAGUAUAGUAUUUAUAAUAUAGAGUUUCUGGAAUUGGAGAUAUAUCAUUCAAAAGGUAAAACACCCCAAGUAUUAUAUGACAAAA